GACCUCCUUCUCGCUUCCGGGGGUUGUGUACGAUGUUGUAGGUAUUGAGAACUAAAGCCUCGUGCAGCUCUGAGGGUUUUCCCCAUAGACAUAUAAAAUGCAUAGACGCCCCAUUGGUCGCUGGAUCCUACAUCAACGGCGCCGCCAUAUUGCUCCGGGCAACUUGCCGUAACUCUCAUAAGUGGACAGAAGAAAAGAUGCCUGACUAUUUUGAGGUUUUACAAACCGUUGCACAAUCCAAACCAGAUCUCGGGGAAUUACCUUUCACAUCCAGUGGCAACCAGGUGGACACAAAUCUCGGGGAAGGCUGAAGAAAGCCUGUCAGUGGACUGUUCUCCGCAUUUCCAUUGAGACCUCGUCUACCUAUUAUAUUAUUAUACACUGAUCAGGCAUAACAUUAUGACCACCUUCCUAAUAUUGUGUUGGUCCCCCUUUUGCUGCCAAAACAGCCCUGACCCAUUGAGGCAUGGAUUUCACUAGACCCCUGAAGGUGUGCUGUGGUACCCCACAAGAGCUGCAGUUUUGGAGAUGCUCUGACCCAGUCGUCUAGCCAUCACAAUUUGGCCCUUGACAAACUCACUCAAACCUUUAUGCUUGCCCAUUUUUCCUGCUUUAACACAUCAACUUUGAGGACAAAAUGUUCACUUGCUGCCUAAUAUAUCCCACCCACUAUCAGGUGCCAUGAUGAAGAGAAUCAGUGUUAUUCACUUAACCUGUCAGUGGUCAUAAUGUUAUACCUAAUCGGUGUAUAUACUAUUUGCUGACUCAUCCGACUGUAUAUAGACAGCAGUAUUUGGACAUAUGAAGUCAAUUCCCUUUUCACUUACCUAUUACAGAUGAUUCGAAGGUGGAAAGCAGUGUAACUACAGCAAUGGUGACUGGACAUCAACAUUAUGGAAUCCAUAUUCCAAAACAGUGCUCAAUUUUCAUGGCUGAAGCACGUGCUUUGCUUUUAGCUUUGGAAUAUGUUGAAAAUGCAUAACACAAUGAUUUUCUACAAUUUUUACAGAUUCCAAAUCAUGCCUUUAAGCAAUGGUCACUUUAAAAAUCAUCCUUUAGUAGACUGCAUUUUAUCUAAAGUGGAUCAUCUAUAGAAUUAGUUGUUCAGUAUUAUCUUCUGCUGGGUUCCAGGCCAUGUUGGACUUUUAUGAAAUGUGUGAGCUGAUGCAGCUGCAAAAGGAAGCUUUUAAUCAGGUAAAUGAAUGUCAAAUUCCUCCCUCAGAUAUCAGAACUAUUAUUAAUCGUUUAUAUAUUCAAUAAAUAAUAAAUUACAUGAAAUCCUCAAACAGAUCUCAAACAGACUUUUAAUCUCACCUAAAACCAGAUUUGAUCAAGUGGUCUUUACCAGAUGUCGUAUAGGUCAUACAAGACUGACUCAUGCAUUUUUGCUUAAAGGUAAAGACCCAACCUUAUGCAUGUUCUGCAAGACUCCCCUUUCUAUUAAACAUAUUCUAUUGGACUGUCCUGGUUUUAAUGCAAGUAGAAAGCUUUUUUUAUGAAGUUAGUUCACUUAAGGACUUAUUUAGUAAGAUUUUUUGAAUUUUUAUGUUAAUUUAAAAAAUCUUGUAUAAUAUUACUUGCUUUGUUUGUUUGUUUGCUUGGUUUUUAUUUUAUUUAUGUGAUAUUUGUAUUUUUGUAAUUGAGUUUUUGCUAUGGUAUGUUAGUAUCUUUAGGUAUUGGUCAACCUCUAUUAUUGCAUCGGCUGUGGCAUUUUGGCUUUGUUUAUGUGGUCCAUGGGACUAUCUAGCAUGUGCCAUAAGGUGAAAUGAUGGUUACGACUGAACUUGAAACCAUAUUUUUCUUCAGGAAACACACCCCAAUUGUGCCAACUACAGGCCUUAAAGGAUUAGUUCACUUUCAUAUGAAAAUUUGCCCAAGCUUUACUCACCCUUAAGCUAUAGGUGUAUAUGACUUUCUCGUUCC